ACGAUCGAUGGAAUAGAGAGUGAGCGAAGCCCAUAGAGAGCGCAAGCAUAUCCCAAAGUGCAAGUGACCCCCGUUUUUGUUUGGUGUUUCAUAUUGUUACGUCCUCGAGAGUAGGGGAGUGUUCCAAGGGUCACCGCUUCCUCAGUCUCUCGUUGAUCUCGUGCUCUUGUUAAUCAAAAGACGACCUGUUUGCAAAGGUUCACUACACUCUACUACCCCAUCGAUGGUCUGUGAUAACUGGUGCUCUGAGUAUAGCUUCCAUACGACUCUUUCAAACGGUAUAGUGACCUUCCUCUACCCGAUAGCUCAUCAUAUAUAUGCUCCACUAUAACUUACGAUGGUCAGCGAUAUCUCGUGUUCUGAGUGUCGUUCUCAGGCGCCUCUUUCAAUCAACGCAUCUUAGCAUCUAUUAUUUUUGUCCCCCCGAGUUAGCCAGAGGACAAAUAUCAAGACGAGCAUUAAGAUAGUCGAUAGUUCCUUUCUCUAUUAUGACUUAUGGCCUCCGAUAGCCUGAGUGUAGUUCUAAGACGCCCCUCUCAAUCAGUGUAUCUGUUUGUGCUUCUAUUGUCUCUACUCGUGGGUGUGGGUGUUGGGGGGGAGGGGGCGGCGGGGCAGGAAUGCAGGUUGUGGCUUUAUCAUUUUGUCGUGCCAGACUUCGCCUCGCUCCCUUAACGCUCUCUUGUCUGUCUUCCGAUAUGCAUCACCGACUUUCUUUAUGGGCAGACGCGUCAGGCCGCCGCUUCACACUCUUGCCAGUUUCGUGUGACUCAGUCUGCGGCUCGGCACCAGUUUUUGUACUUUUUUCCUUCCUCGGCGGUGUUGUGGUGUGAGGUAGAACAAGUGGCAGUCAGGUGUGUCAUCGCAAGGCUCGAAUAUUGCUACCUUGAUUUAGAGACGCUGAAGACUGAUUCGAGAUAGUAUCGUUUUUGUUGCUGUUGUCGCUGUGGUGGUAGUGUUCGUUCUCCUUGAUCGGUCUCUGUGCCCUGUGUGGUUCGUGCUGUGGCCGCUGCCCUUCUCUAGCGCUGGUGUCGGUGACGCUGGUGUUGGUGGUGGUGGUAGUGCUGACCGGCAGGGGCAAGACAAGGCUCCUCACACCCUUGUAAGCUGUCAACCGCCUUUAUUUUGGUAUGGCGAGGUAACGCGGGUACACACGAAUCGUCAGGUGUGGUACAGGCAGGUGUGGCGCAGGCAGGUGUGGCACGAUGUGUUUUGUUUAAUGUUGGCAGUGCUGACUUUCAUAUCCCGGCGCAUUAGACAACGCAGUGACGUGAGCACCUGUCCUCGUGUUAAUUCAUGUCCAUCGAAGGAUUUCAGGUGCAGUCUGAAAUCGAAGGAAAAUGUGGAUUGGUGGACUGGUGGUGUGCUGGCGGACCGUGGGCAUGCGCGGUGGACUAGCUGGGGGUGGACGGGAGGAAGGGAGGCGCAGAUGGGGUCGUCUCCCUCUGCUGGUUGGCGGGGCAGGUGGU